CAUUUUUAACCAUUUAAUAACUAUGGUAAAGCUAACAUAACUAAUGGUAGGGGUAUAGAUGAUAAUUUUCUAUAUUCACAAGAGUAUAGGUGAUAUUUAAAACUUUAGAGGGGAAUCCAGGGUAUGAAUGAAAUUGCCCUUUUAUAUAUAGGACUUAUAUCAAAUCCUAUAAGUGUCGUAUUCCUUUCUCUUUUAAACCUUGAUGUUCUCAUUAGGCUCAAACUCAUUUAUAAAUAUCAGACGAUGUAAGACUUAUCUUAUAUUUUCGGCUAGUGACUAAUUAGCACUAAUAUAAAUUGUAACAUCCUACUUUCCAGGAUGUCAUUUAUCAUAGGACUACUCUAGUCCCAGUAUACUUUUCUUAACCUCUUAUGCCUAACCACUAUCUAAAAUGCUAUAGUCGGAAAAAGAGACUUAAUUAGCUCUAUUGUAUGUCGUGUAUAUAUAUAUAUAUAUAUAUAUAUAUAUAUAUAUGAGUGAGGCUACUAUGCUAUCGGAAGCGAAAAAUUCUAGAAUGCACCGGGUGCAUUGGUGACCUGGCGUCACAAACCAAUCAAAUUUUUAUUUUUAGAGAUAUAUGUCCCAUCAUGAUUGUAAAAAAAUAUUUUUAUUGUACUUUUAUUUGAAAAGAAGGGAUGUGAUUAGCUUGUUAUUGAUGACGUGGUGCAAGUGUGACAGUGUAGAAUCCCUCAUCGGAAGCACGGAGCCUUCCGUGCUUCCAGCUCGUUUUCGAUGUUGCGACUUUCGAAUCGUCGAUCGGCUCCGUUAAACUUGAUCUAGAGUAUUUGGAGUACCUAGAAAAUAAAAUUUAUUAUUUUUCGAUAUUAUUUGCCUAGUGAUCGAAUAGGCUCAAAAUCAACAAAUUUCAAUGGCCGUAGUGAGCCGUUUGCAAGUUUAACGGUAUAGAAAUAUCCAAAUCACGUGAAAUUUUGAUAGAAAAUUCUUUAUACUAUAUAAAACAAGAUCAAUAUCUUUGAUUUAAAAUUUUAAUGUCACAUUAUUACAUUUUAUAAGAUUUUUAUUUUCAGCCGUUGAUUUUGAGCCCCUUCGUUCACUAGGCAAAUGAUAUCGUAAAAUCAUAAAAUUUAUUUUCUAGGUACUCCAAAUACUCUAGAUCAAGUUUAACGGAGCCGAUCGACGAUUCGAAAGUCGCAACAUCGAAAACGAGCUGGAAGCACGGAAGGCUCCGUGCUUCCGAUAGCAUAGUAGCCUCGCUCUAUAUAUAUAUACCAAAUUAAUCUCU
rnacentral:lncRNA from 1 species